AGAGUUUGAUCCUGGCUCAGGAUGAACGCUAGCGACAGGCUUAACACAUGCAAGUCGAGGGGCAGCAUAAAAGUAGCAAUACUUUGGUGGCGACCGGCGCACGGGUGAGUAACGCGUAUGCAACCUACCUAUCAGAGGGGAAUAACCCGGCGAAAGUCGGACUAAUACCGCAUAAAACAGGGGCACCGCAUGGUGAUAUUUGUUAAAGAGAUUCGCUGAUAGAUGGGCAUGCGUUCCAUUAGGUAGUUGGUGAGGUAACGGCUCACCAAGCCGACGAUGGAUAGGGGAACUGAGAGGUUGGUCCCCCACACUGGUACUGAGACACGGACCAGACUCCUACGGGAGGCAGCAGUGAGGAAUAUUGGUCAAUGGGCGAGAGCCUGAACCAGCCAAGUCGCGUGAAGGAAGAAGGAUCUAUGGUUCGUAAACUUCUUUUGCAGGGGAAUAAAGUGCAGGACGUGUCCUGUUUUGUAUGUACCCUGAGAAUAAGGAUCGGCUAACUCCGUGCCAGCAGCCGCGGUAAUACGGAGGAUCCGAGCGUUAUCCGGAUUUAUUGGGUUUAAAGGGUGCGUAGGUGGUUUGAUAAGUCAGCGGUGAAAGUUUGCAGCUUAACUGUAAAAAUGCCGUUGAAACUGUCGGACUUGAGUGUAAAUGAGGUAGGCGGAAUGCGUGGUGUAGCGGUGAAAUGCAUAGAUAUCACGCAGAACUCCGAUUGCGAAGGCAGCUUACUAAGCUACAACUGACACUGAAGCACGAAAGCGUGGGGAUCAAACAGGAUUAGAUACCCUGGUAGUCCACGCAGUAAACGAUGAUUACUAGCUGUUUGCGAUACACAGUAAGCGGCACAGCGAAAGCGUUAAGUAAUCCACCUGGGGAGUACGCCGGCAACGGUGAAACUCAAAAGGAAUUGACGGGGGGCCCGCACAAGCGGAGGAAACUGUGGUUAAAUUCGAUGAUACCCAAGGAACCUUAACCGGGUUUGAACGUAGGGAAGACGGGGGUGGAAACCUCCUUUUCAGC
rnacentral:rRNA from 1 species